AACCUAGCACACCUGCGGUGUGUACCUGCGGAGGGAUCAUUACCGAGUUUACAACUCCCAAACCCCUGUGAACAUACCACUUGUUGCCUCGGCGGAUCAGCCCGCUCCCGGUAAAACGGGACGGCCCGCCAGAGGACCCCUAAACUCUGUUUCUAUAUGUAACUUCUGAGUAAAACCAUAAAUAAAUCAAAACUUUUAACAACGGAUCU
rnacentral:misc_RNA from 1 species